AGCCCAAGAGUAAGUUCUAUGGCCCUUCCACAUAUAUUGACUUAAGCCCCUCUAAAAACACUGCCUUAUACCACGGCACUUAUCCAACCCUUAACCCCAACGUGCUCUAUGAAUCACAUUAUGAAAUGGUGUCACAAUUAGACCUUAUGACAACACUUUGGACUCCAGGUCAGAGUCCUGCCCCAGAAAUUACCUUGCUUACCAAGUAGGCCAAUCGUUCCAUCAAAUCAUUGG